GUCUUCAGGGAGUCUUUAUUUUUCUUGUGCACUGCUUGCUUGAUCGGCAGGUGAGACAGGAGUACUACAAAGCUUUCAGGAAGAUCCAUACCGGCAAAAACAAACUUGAUGGGAUGUCCAGUAACACUGCACCGAUUACCCUAAGAAUUAUUGACACAUCAGAAGGAUCAAAAAAUCUCUCUGUCACAGAAGAAGGGACAUGUUUCAGAAAAGAACAGUAAUGAUCUGAAUAAGCGCCUGUAUUAAAUCUACGAGUGUGCUCAUUGCUUGCUGGGAAUAAGCCACUUUUUAUCAAUAUGG